rnacentral:rRNA from 1 species
UACGUAGGGUGCGAGCGUUGUCCGGAAUUACUGGGCGUAAAGAGCUCGUAGGUGGUUUGUCACGUCGUCUGUGAAAUUCCGGGGCUUAACCUCGGGCGUGCAGGCGAUACGGGCAAUACUUGAGUGCUGUAGGGGAGACUGGAAUUCCUGGUGUAGCGGUGAAAUGCGCAGAUAUCAGGAGGAACACCAAUGGCGAAGGCAGGUCUCUGGGCAGUUACUGACGCUGAGGAGCGAAAGCACGGGUAGCGAACAGGAUUAGAUACCCGGGUA